rnacentral:rRNA from 1 species
UACGUAGGGUGCGAGCGUUGUCCGGAAUUAUUGGGCGUAAAGAGCUCGUAGGCGGUGUGUCACGUCGAUCGUGAAAACUUACAGCUUAACUGUGAGCGUGCGGUCGAUACGGGCAUCACUGGAGUUCGGCAGGGGAGACUGGAAUUCCUGGUGUAGCGGUGAAAUGCGCAGAUAUCAGGAGGAACACCGGUGGCGAAGGCGGGUCUCUGGGCCGAUACUGACGCUGAGGAGCGAAAGUGUGGGGAGCGAACAGG